CACUAUCCCUAUUCUUUUACACUCUAUCCUCCCACAAGGAGUCAUCUUUCUAAACUUUUGUCCACAACCAAAAAUAUCAGAUGUUUUUGGAGAAGAGUGGAAGUUGGGGCAAUCAAAUGUCCUCAUGCUGACAUGCUCUGGGAGAACACAGAAGCAGUAUUGGAGGUGCAGAAGCAACUGCAGAGAAUAAUCAGUGAGCAGCACUGAUCGUUCAAGGCUAUUUCCCUGAUUCCUGAAAUUUCCACUGAGUCUUCUUCAUUCUGGGCACGCAGUCUGCAUCUCCUGCUGAACUGGAGGAUGCUGCUCCUGAGGAUGAAAACUGUCCUAAGUCAUUCUUGUCCUUAUUUGUGGGAAGGCAGUCAGUCUGUGAGUUAGUCUGCAUCACUGAAAAGCCUUCUGCUGCCUCUAUGUAGAAAAUUCUCACCUUGGAAAUAUUAAGAUAGAAAUUAGGCAAUUAACAGAUUAGAAAUUUCAAGAAGCAAUAAAGUAUAAAUGAGUUUUCCCAUUUUCUGGGGAGGUGAAUUAACCACAACUCACCUUCUGCUUGCACCUUUCUCUCUGUGUUGUGUGAGGAUUUUGUUUGCACCACUGAUUUAUAAAGACACUGGCAACACAUCCAGCUUCUAGAGGAACAGGAAUACCCAGAGGAAAAUUUAAGCAAUCUAAAAACACCAGGAAGAAGGAGCAUUAAAAAAACUUACAAUAACAUUUAUAGAGAAUUCUAGUAGGUGCUACCCUUAAAAAGCAGUGUUUAUCACUACUUAGCAAAAUUGUUAUUUUAAUUGCUUUUUUCACAUGCUAACUCUAAAUGACUUUUUUUCCCUCAGGGAAAAAAACAAAACAACAACAACAACAAAAAAAAAAAAAAAAAAAAAAAAAAAAAAAAAAAAAAACCAAAAAAAAAAAAAAAAAAAAAAAAAAAAAAAAAAAAAAAAAAAAAAAAAAAAAACAAAAACAACCAAAAAAAACCCCACAAAAAACAAAACAAGAAACGCAAACAAACAAAAGCAACCAAAACACACCAGAGGAACAUUUUGUGAAACAUUCAGUGAAUAUGAUGAAAAAACCUUAAUGCUACCUGAGGCCUAUCCCAACAGCCCUAGGAUGAACCUCAGAACUGAGUGCCUUUUUCCUAUAGCACUGUGUCAUAGAUACUGGGUGGCAGGAAUGCCUGUUCCUGUCUGCCUGCAAGAACUACUGCUCUGGAACUGGUUCCAGCUCAUAGCAAGUGAAGCAACUGAUUCAAGCCACAGCUAUGAUUUAAAAGUCCCUAAGAAUAAAUAUUUCAUCCCUAAAAUACCAAA